AUGGGGAAAAAAAAAAAAAAACCCAAAAAAAACCACCACCAAACCACCACCAAACGCGGGGGACUGGGGGAAAUAACCGUAAAAAAAAGGGGUGCCCCCCCCAAAGGGGGCUGGGGGCGGCAGGGAGCCGGGAGCCAAGCGGAGCCUCCGCCGGGGAUCGGCCAACUUACCCUGGGCAAAAACAAGCGCCGGGCGGCCGCUGCGCCCCGUCCUCGGGCGCUCCGUCCCCUGGUCCUGCCGCCCCCUCCCCGCCGCGGGCACCCGGCACCGCGCCCCCCGCUCCGCCCGCAGCCCCGCGGCGAUGUGCGGCCGAGCCCGGCGCGGGAGCGGCGCCUUCCCGGAAUGGCUCAGCCCUCGGGAGGCAGGGAGACACAGAGACGGAGGGAGGAGGCGGGCGGCAGCGCCGGGGCUGGUCCCACCUCCUGCCGGCCGGGAGGCGCGGCUUUGCCCCUGCCCGAGCCGAGCGGCGGAGCUGAACCGAACCGAGCUGAACCGAGUCGAGCGCCGCCCGUGCCCGGCGCGCCGCGCCCCGGCUCGGGUUACCGGAGCCGCAGCCAAUGUGGGGCCGCCCAGCGCCUGCGAACGGCAGUUUCACAUUGUAAGUAAUGAAAGCUGCACCAGGACAGAGCGACAGUGCUGCCAGCUUUUUUCCACAAAAGUAUCCUUAAAAGGCCGCAGGGAAUUGCCAGCUUUGUGUUCUUGAGGAACCUCAGUAAAUUAUUUGACUCAGUGCAACCUCAGAUUUCUGACCACGCUGGAAAGCUGGUCAAGACACCCUCUAGCUACAAAGAAACAUCAGAUCUGAUGCCAGAGUGUGGGAUGCAGAGCAGAUGGCCUGUGCAUGGAAGAAACAUCGGAACAGGACUGCAACUUCUGCCUUUUGGUGUUCUAUUCCUGACCCUCAGUCACUAAAGCUGCAGUUUCUUGGAUGUUAUUCUGCAUGAGUCUGUACUUCUUGUUUUCUGACGAUACCCUUGGCAAGCUGGGAUAACUGCCUGUUCCCUGAGGGAGCAGAACAGCAGGAUUUCCCUGCUUCUGGAUCAGCUGAACCUUCCAGUGAAAAACCUUUAUUCCUCCAUUUGCCCCUUGAGUGACCUACGAGGAAAAAGCAGUCUCUUCGAAGAUUAUGCAGCACUCCAUAAUGCUGGCUUCUGGCAAUAUAACAGGGCCAUCCAGUUCGUUCAUUCUCCUCCUUGCGUAUUAAUGGAAGGUUUCAUCUUGUGUCCACAAAGCCUUUUUAUUUUGUGCCCUGAAACUGCUAGUGAAAUUCUAAAAUGCACCAACUUGUUUGAAAGCCUUACAGAUAUUCAGAGAAUAACUAUGAUUGUGCCCGGAAAACUCUUUUCUAUGCCAGAAAACAGAUCCUCCAAAAGGUAUAAACAGUGCCCUCUGAAAACUGUUAGAAAGAGUAGCAUCCAAACUGGAGAGCAAGGGAGUUGCAGAUCUGCUCUGGAAGCAGAAUCCUAAGAGACAAUAGGCACUUGCUGCACUUGCUGGGAGCUGCAAGUGGUUGACACUUCCCAAACUCAUAUGUAAUAGCUAGAGCAGAAAUUUCACUGCUAGUUAAAUGUAUGAUGGGAAUCCAUCUUCAUUGUGUGGUCAGAAGGCUGCAUACAAUAUUAGAGGGAUGUUUUACAAGUGUUAAGAAAAAUCCCCAAACUUCUCACAACAUUUGAAUCACCAGGAUCGCCACGCGCCUGUGAACUGAGACCAUGUGCUGGUGAGCUGUCACCUCCACUGCCAUCAUCUACCCAAAGAGAAGUGCUACUGAGACCCUGAAUCCAAGUGUAUGUCAAGAAAUAAAAAUUUAACUGAACAUCUCGUGAACAGGAAAGCUAUCAGACAGCAGCCGGAAUAGGGAAGCAGGCAGACUGCAUCAGAGCACUGGCCCUUGUAUUGUCUCUGCCAGUGGCAAAUACCAGAUGCUUAUGAGAAUACUGUGAAAAAAAUUGCCCAUAGGGUGAGUUUUCUUCUCUCUGCCAUCUGGUACCACUUGCCUUCUUCCCAGAAGCAGUAAGGUUUACAUCUCUUCCAAAAAUAUUUACCAUCCUAUCUAACAUGGGAAGAAGGGCAGAGAUAGCUUGAUACAUCUUUAUCUUUUGUCAAUACUCCUUUAUAAACACAGGUGAUCCAACAAAUAGCUGGGGGAAAUGGAAGGCAAGGGUUUGCAUGCUUCAUUUGGCACCACUAAACUGCACCCCUCUGUUACUGUCACAUCAGGGUACAUCCCAGAGGCCAAAUUCUGCCCUGAUUUACAUGCAGAGCACACAGGAGGGGGCUCUGUCUAUCUGGGGACACAAGUCAGUCCCACAGCCUGGAGGUACUUGCAGG